UAAAAACUACUCCUACAUUCUCUCUCUAGAAGUUCAACAACUGAUGACCAUAUCUUUUUCCGACGAAACGUUCUUCUUCACCAUUUACAUCUUCCGGCUAUUAUUGAAGGGAGGAAACGAUUUGAGAAAGUUGAGGAUUUGAAACAGGCAUCUAUAGAGGAAGGCGGUGGAAAAGGAAUGACUUUGAAAAAGCGAAGUGCAACUUAUGUUAUCCGAUGCCAAUAUACAUCCUCAAAAGAAUCAAGAAAGAAGCGAAUGACUUUGGAAAGGCGAAGUAGUCUUUUUUUCUAAGAAUUAUAUUAAUCCUAGUUGAACUAUGGUACUGAUUUUGAAGUUGUUAGUAAUUUUCUUAUCUAUUGUGUGAAUCUUUACUUUUGAAAAGACAGUCAUACUUUGUGGUAUCGUUCUAUUUUGUAUAUAUGUUUUAAACUUAAUAAGCAUUUGAUGGUACGCAGAAACGUACUAAUGUCCA